AAUAGAUUUUCUUAACAGGAAUCACUCAAUUCUGAGGAAAAAAGUGUGGAAUCACUCAAAUUGGAGGUAGAAAAUAAGGACACACCCAGUCUACUUCCUUUCCCUAAAUGGACAUCUGCCCCAGAUUAGAUGUGUCUGUUAGUCUGGAGUUAAAAACACCUGCAGUCAUGACACCUUGGAGGGCUGCUGGACAAAGUGGAGUGGCAAGAACCAUGGCUCCAACAAGAUAAAUGUCCCUUUAAACAAAAGAGAGGAUGGUGAAACCUCUUGAAGAAGGUAACCCUUCACACAUGGUUGCUAAAGAUGUGGGCUGUUCACAGUCAGCUGUAUCCAAGAUAUGGUCCUAAUACAAACAGCAUGGAAUGGUUGUUAAAGCCAAGCGUACUGGUAGACCAAGAAAGACAUCAAAGCGUCAAGACAAACAACUUAAGGCCAUUUGUCUUGAAAACUGAAAAAUUACAACUAAACAAAUGAAGC